rnacentral:piRNA from 1 species
CAAGAAGUGGAACUGUUCAUGGU